CCUACGGGUGGCAGCAGUGGGGAAUAUUGGGCAAUGGGCGCAAGCCUGACCCAGCAACGCCGCGUGAAGGAAGAAGGCUUUCGGGUUGUAAACUUCUUUUGUCCGGGAAGAGUAGAAGACGGUACCUGACGAAUAAGCCACGGCUAACUACGUGCCAGCAGCCGCGGUAAUACGUAGGUGGCAAGCGUUGUCCGGAUUUACUGGGUGUAAAGGGCGUGUAGCCGGGUUGUCAAGUGAGAUGUGAAAUCCUGCGGCUUAACCGGAGAACUGCAUUUGAAACUGUUGAUCUUGAGUACUGGAGAGGCAGAUGGAAUUCCUAGUGUAGCGGUGAAAUGCGUAGAUAUUAGGAGGAACACCAGUGGCGAAGGCGGUCUGCUGGACAGCAACUGACGGUGAGGCGCGAAAGCGUGGGGAGCAAACAGGAUUAGAUACCCCUGUAGUC
rnacentral:rRNA from 1 species